CGGUGGGUGGUGGCAGCGGCGCACAGAGGGCAGGUAACCAGACUGACGGCAGAAGACCUAGGGCUAGUGUUUUUUCUCUGCUUUUUUUAUUUGGUGUUGGGCUGUUUGGGUUUUCUGUUUGGGUUAUUUUUUUGGUCUCUGCUUGUUGGGCCCGGGCAUAAAUUGGGCUGUACAAAAAUGAUUUAUUACACUUAAGAUAAAAUAACA
rnacentral:lncRNA from 1 species